rnacentral:lncRNA from 1 species
UUGACCUUCCUCGGCCGCCUCUCUUCUAAACCGAGACGAGUUCGUUUACAUGAUGGGUCUCGUCAAGGGGCACAAUCUAUCUCCAACAAUAAACUCCCCUCCUUCAGUUCAUUGCAAGAGACAAAAUCGAUCUCGAUAAAUUAGAUAGAAUGGGCCGAUAAUGUAAACAAACUAGGCGUUAUGCAUCUUUCAAAUUAUGUUUUUGUUCUUAGUUGACAUCUCGGCGAUCACGGGAUGCGAUCUUGGUUUUCCAAGUUUAAUUUGGUUCAAAACUAAACCAGAAGCGGUUUGAUUUCAAACUGUUUUUCCAGGUUUUUGAAAAGUAGAAUUGUUGCCUCCCCGAAAUGCGGAACGUAGCCUCUCUUCUGGGUCCAGU